rnacentral:rRNA from 1 species
UAACGCGAAGAACCUUACCAAGGCUUGACAUAUACGAGAACGGGCUAGAAAUAGUCAACUCUUUGGACACUCGUAAACAGGUGGAGCAUGGUUGUCGUCAGCUCGUGUCGUGAGAUGUUGGGUUAAGUCCCGCAACGAGCGCAACCCUCGUUUUAUGUUGCCAGCGCGUUAUGGCGGGGACUCAUAGGAGACUGCCGGGGUCAACUCGGAGGAAGGUGGGGAUGACGUCAAAUCAUCAUGCCCCUUAUGUCUUGGGCUUCACGCAUGCUACAAUGGCCGGUACAAAGGGCUGCGAUACCGUAAGGUGGAGCGAAUCCCAAAAAGCCGGUCUCAGUUCGGAUUGAGGUCUGCAACUCGACCUCAUGAAGUCGGAGUCGCUAGUAAUCGCAGAUCAGCA